rnacentral:lncRNA from 1 species
GGGAGUGAAAACCAGGAGUAUGCUCUUCUGAAUGAAGCUGCAGAGCAACUAGCAGCUCAAGUAUGGUCUCAGCACCAGCAGAUAUUUUUCCUGCUCCUAUGGAAGCAAGGAAAGAAACUCUCUUAGAGGCAAAUGGAAGACAGGAAAAAUAAUAAUAGCAUUCUAAUUUAUCACCAGGAAAAAAAAAAAUAAAAAAAAAAUCACAUUUCUUGUGACUUUUUGGUGAGUUCAAGAGGUACUAGAAAGUCCUAAUUUGAAUGGGCAUUUUCUUGGUUCUUAAAGGCUCCUGAGGCAGCUUUUGGGGGAUCAUUUCUUCAAUAUGUGCAGUUGUGUUAGUCAGGGCAGUGUAUCCAUUUGUCCAAACACAUCACUUGAACCAGUCAAACAAAGACAGACAAGUAAGUAAUAGUCUGAUCUAUUUUGGGGGUACUUAUAUUUCAUUUUCUAUUCAGUAAAUCAUAAUUUCUUCAUUGCUCAACUAGAAACCAAUCCUUCUUCUCUUCUCUUAGCAAGAGACAGGAUGACUGGAGGCCAGGAUGCUCCCUCCCCUGUACCUGCCAUCUGAGCUUCAGUCAGUCACUUCACAUCUUCCAGCUUCACUUUCAGAGACAAAAUAUUCAACCCACCCAACUCUGACCCUCAAGAUCAACUAGAUCAAGGAUCUAGCUCAACACACAUGGCUGUCCCACCAGGUCUACAGCAACGCUAAGUGAAGAGUAAGGGAAGCGCUAUCUCACCCACCAUGGAGGGCGAAGUCAGUCUCACCACCACCAGGGGACAAGUCCCAAGCCUUGAAAAAAAAAUGAAGCUGACAGCGUGAAGAUGGCAAUGCCUUCGCACCGUGGAAGUUUCACUGCAGCAGUGGGAAGGAAAAGCAGCUUCCACAAAGGGACCGUGCAACUGCCUGAAGUCAAGGAAGCUGUGCAUGAGUUUCAGAGAAGGACUACACAUGAAGUCAACUGAAGCUGCAAGGUGAUCACUACCCUUUGCAACUCAGCUGCUUAUAUAAACGUCUGCAUGUGGAAACAGAAGCCAAAAACACUUUUUGCACCUACUUUGUAAAAAGAAGAAAAACAGCUUGGCUAGAAGAUGAAGCUCCUAAGAAAAAAAUCUGCCAUGAAAUUCCCAGGUGUCAAAUUUUAAGUGAGAAAAGUGUGACACAUGUAGCAAUUAUGAUGGACUGAAACUGUCUGGGGGAGAUGGCAAGGAAAGGGAGAAGCACUCACACACCUGCUGCCACGUGCACCAGAGCCGCCAUCUGACAUGCUUUGGGGGUGGCAGCGUACACCUGGGGCGGACAUCCUCUUUCUCCCAGUUCUUGCUCUGAGAAGCUGGGAUGUGAUCCAAGAGAAGGGACACCUUCGAGAUAGGAGAGUAACUAACACUGCCACCUAUGAUUAACUUUUUUUUUUUUUUUAAAUGAUUUCUAUGCCAGACUAUUAAACUCCUCAAAUGACAUGGUAGAGGGAGUCAGAGCCUGGAGAGCAGGAGCAGAACUGGAGCUAGAGGGAACCAGAGCUGCACCUUAACCAGAAAUAAGUUGCAGGAUGAGAGGGGCUCCUGGAGAAGCCAGACAUGCAGCAGUAACUAUGUGAAUAGUAUUCUCUGGGCUGUGUAAAGCAAAAUUGAGAGGGCUUUAAACUAGGCAAGAAGGGGGAUGGGGCUGAAGCAAGGAUUGUUG